UACGUGGGGGGCGAGCGUUGUUCGGAAUUAUUGGGCGUAAAGGGUGCGUAGGCGGUUUGGUAAGUCUUAUGUGAAAUCUACAGGCUCAACUUGUAGUCUGCAUGAGAAACUGCCGGGCUUGAGUAUGGGAGAGGUGAGUGGAAUUCCUGGUGUAGCGGUGAAAUGCGUAGAUAUCAGGAGGAACACCUGUGGCGAAAGCGGCUCACUGGACCAUAACUGACGCUGAUGCACGAAAGCUAGGGGAGCAAACAGG
rnacentral:rRNA from 1 species